GACGAACGCUGGCGGCGUGCUUAACACAUGCAAGUCGAACGGAAAGGCCUUUUCGGAGGUACUCGCGUGGCGAACGGGUGAGUAACACGUGGGUGAUCUGCCCUGCACUCUGGGAUAAGCCUGGGCAACUGGGUCUAAUACCGGAUAGGACCGCACUUUAGUGUGUGUGGUGGGAAGUUUUUUCGGUGUAGGAUGAGCCCGCGGCCUAUCAGCUUGUUGGGGGGGUAAUGGCCUACCAAGGCGGCGACGGGUAGCCGGACUGAGAGGGUGGGCGGCCACAUUGGGACUGAGAUACGGCCCAGACGCCUACGGGAGGCAGCAGUGGGGAAUAUUGCACAAUGGGCGGAAGCCUGAUGCAGCGACGCCGCGUGGGGGAUGACGGCCUUCGGGUUGGAAACUCCUUUCGCCAGGGACGAAGCGUUUUGUGACGGUACCUGGAGAAGAAGCACCGGCUAACUACGUG
rnacentral:rRNA from 1 species